AGCCGAUGCUUAUUCCUCAGAUACCGUCAAAAUUCUUCUCUGAGAAAAGAAGUUUACAACCCAUAGGCCUUAAUCCUUCACGCGGUAUUGCUCCGUCAGGCUUGCGCCCAUUGCGGAAAAUUCCUCA
rnacentral:rRNA from 1 species